rnacentral:rRNA from 1 species
UGGUGGGUAGUUUGACUGGGGCGGUCUCCUCCCAAAGAGUAACGGAGGAGCACGAAGGUGGGCUAAACACGGUUGGACAUCGUGUGGUUAGUGCAAUGGCAUAAGCCCGCUUGACUGCGAGAAUGACAAUUCGAGCAGGUGCGAAAGCAGGUCAUAGUGAUCCGGUGGUUCUGAAUGGAAGGGCCAUCGCUCAACGGAUAAAAGGUACUCCGGGGAUAACAGGCUGAUACCGCCCAAGAGUUCAUAUCGACGGCGGUGUUUGGCACCUCGAUGUCGGCUCAUCACAUCCUGGGGCUGAAGUCGGUCCCAAGGGUAUGGCUGUUCGCCAUUUAAAGUGGUACGCGAGCUGGGUUUAGAACGUCGUGAGACAGUUCGGUCCCUAUCUGCCGUGGGCGUUGGAAGAUUGAAGGGGGCUGCUCCUAGUACGAGAGGACCGGAGUGGACGAACCUCUGGUGUUCGGGUUGUCAUGCCAAUGGCAUUGCCCGGUAGCUAAGUUCGGAAUCGAUAACCGCUGAAAGCAUCUAAGCGGGAAGCGAGCCCUGAGAUGAGUCUUCCCUGGCACUUUAAGUGUCCUAAAGGGUUGUUC